rnacentral:rRNA from 1 species
CCCUUAGAUGUCCUGGGCUGCACGCACGCUACACUGAUGUGUCCAGUAAGCACCUAACCUCUUCCGAAAGGAACGGGUAACCUUUGCAAAGCACAUCGUGAUGGGGAUAGAUUAUUGCAAUUAUUAGUCUUGAACGAGGAAUUCCUAGUAAGCACAAGUCAUCAGCUUGUGUUGAUUACGUCCCUGCCCUUUGUACACACCGCCCGUCGCUCCUACCGAUUGAAUGUUCCGGUGAGCUCUUCGGACUGCGCGGUCUGCAGUUUCUGCGUUCCGUGCGGAAAGUUGCGCAAACCUUAACAUUUAGAGGAAGGAGAAGUCGUAACA